UACGAAGGGUGCAAGCGUUAUUCGGAAUCAUUGGGCGUAAAGCGCGCGCAGGCGGAUUGAUAAGUCAGGUGUGAAAUCUCGAGGCUCAACCUCGAAACUGCGCCUGAAACUAUUAGUCUAGAGUGUCGGAGGGGGCAGGGGAAUUUCACGUGUAGGGGUAAAAUCCGUAGAGAUGUGAAGGAACACCGGGGGCGAAGGCGCCUGCCUGGACGACUACUGACGCUGAGGAGCGAAAGCGUGGGGAGCGAACAGG
rnacentral:rRNA from 1 species